UACGGGGGGGGCAAGCGUUGUUCGGAAUUACUGGGCGUAAAGGGCUCGUAGGCGGCCAACUAAGUCAGACGUGAAAUCCCCAGGCUCAACCUGGGAACUGCGUCUGAUACUGGAUGGCUUGAAUCCGGGAGAGGGAUGCAGAAUUCCAGGUGUAGCGGUGAAAUGCGCAGAUAUCAGGAGGAACACCGGUGGCGAAGGCGGGUCUCUGGGCCGAAACUGACGCUGAGGAGCGAAAGCGUGGGGAGCAAACAGG
rnacentral:rRNA from 1 species